UUUGUGUUUGUGCUUCUUUAAAUAUUUAUUUUAGCAUUAAAUAUUAAUUCAAAACAUUAUAUGGUAAUAUUUUGGUAAAGGAUGUAUUUUUCAAACAGCACAACAAGUAAGACAACAACAAAACACUCAGCCAUGUUGGCCACACCUGAGGUGAAUUUUAAAAGAAUCCAAGAAGACAAACCAAAUUCUCUCUGAAUUUGUCUACAUGCAACAACAAGACCUCAUGGGCAAUUUCAUAAAGACCCGACUGACUAAUGUGGACUGAUUCUGUUGUGGCCUGGUGCUUUAUGGAGGCUGAGAAGUUACUACGUAGAGGAAAAGAGACAAACAACGCUGAAGGGGGAAGGAAUGGCCUCUGCUAAAUCCCAGAUCUGAACUGACUGUAAUGGAAACCAAACAAGCCACAGAAGCCUGCACUAAUGAUCUAGUUACACUCUUCCCUUCCUCCCUUUCUCUUGCAACAGAGGGCACCACUCUCCAGGAAAGCUCAUACUGUAUCUAGAAUUUCUGUACAGAUUUCCUCAAGGCACAGUUAGGUUCAUCGAUAUAACUUUAACAUGAGCACUGUGUUGUGUAGUGCUCAGGUAUGCUUUCUUCUGUUUGCUAUUACAUUAAUGCUGAAAACACAAUUUUCUAAAGCUGAAAUGGAAUGUGUAUCAUAUGAAAAGAUUAAUAAUAUUUAAUUGACUGAAGUACAUAAUUAGUAUUACUAUAUUUUAAUAAACAUACAUUUGAUCUAGGCAUUUGACCUAAGAAAAUAAUCAGAAAUAGGGUAAAGAUUUUUGUACAAAUCAAUUUAUCUUGACAUUAUUUGUGUAAAUCUUAUAAAGCCAUCAUCUGAGAGUAGUGUUGUGAACAGAGAAACACAUAUCAAUAACAACUGAAUACAAUUUUAAAACACUGUAAGUUCAGUAUUAAUUAGGUUCCUUUGGUUACAGGCAACAAAGAAUAAUUGUGGAUAACAUACAAAAAAAAAAAGAAUUAUUUGGAAGGAUGUGGGUAGUUCACAGACAUGAAGGAAAAGCUGAAUAGCCCUUAUGAAAGAUAAGUAUGAGGCUGCACUAAGGGUGUAGGUUUUAGGAACACAUAAAGGAUUUUACAGGGUGUUACCCUCAAGAUGAGCCAACUGCAAAUACUUUCCUUUCUUCUGUCACUGUACUCAAGAUUCAAAUACCUGAGAAAGAUCUUCCAAAUAGCCUUACCAAGGCCCUAUGUCUACCAUUUGGCCAAGGGAACAUAGGUACCUCGAGUUAACAGUUUUAUCAAGACUUCAUAGCAUAGGAAAUGAUAGCAGAGACUAUCUCUGGAACACAAUGAACUACAUUCUUGAUUUGCCUUGCAGCUAGGUGGGGACCAUGUGACUGAGUUCUGGGCAAUGGAAUGGGGGCAAAAGUGAUGUACGCCACCUCUAGCCUGACCCAUUAAACUCCUGCAGAUCCUCCAUGCUCCUUUUCCUUCUUCAUCUCAAGGCAGGUUGCAAAAGGAUCAGUGCAGGGCUCAGAGGCCCUGCAGGAUAUCAAAUCCACCACACGGAAGGAGCUGAGUUCUCUAUGUCAUCACAUGGAGUCCACCCCUGUACCACCAUUGGACGGAAAGAGACAUGAGAAAUAAACUGUAAUGAUGUUAAGCCACUGAGAUUUGGAGGUUCUUUAUUUCAGAAAUGGGGCUACCCUAAUAUUCAAGGGUGUAUAUUUGACAGACAAAAAACAAAACAAAAAACCAAAAUUUGAUUCUGUAAUUUCUGUACUUGCGUUAAAAAACCUCAGUGAGGAGGUUACAUAGACCAUGGUAAUUUUUUUUAAUUCUCCCAUCUAAUUCCCUCACACAGUUACUCCCACAUCUUAUCCUUCAAAAUUCUCAGAAAAUUUAUCUUCCAGUCCUGCCCACAUACCUCUUGUUCUUCAACUCCAGCCUCACUUCUUUCCCUCUGAAUCUGCAUCACAAAAGCUCAAAUAAUCAUCAGGCAAAACAGAACUCCCCUUCGAGGGUGGGAGAAGAUGAAAAUUAAACAUCUGUCAGAUAAAGGGGAAUGUCAGAGAAAGGGAACAUUCAUGCAUUAAUAAUAUUGUAACAUUUAUGGCAAUGAAAACUUGGAAACCACCUGAACGUCAAACAUUAAGGAAGUAGUUAAAUAAAUUAUGGCAUACUUGUUACUGGUUAUAAGAACAAGACAGAUUUAGUCACUGUGCUCGUGGAGCUUGUAUACUAACAGUAAUAUAUUAUGUUCAUCAAUAAUCAUAUUUUGGAAAUAAAUAAUAUGAAAAAAACAAUUUCCAAUGAACUUCAGGUAAGAAGCUACAUAUAUAG
rnacentral:lncRNA from 1 species